rnacentral:rRNA from 1 species
UGGGGAAUAUUGGACAAUGGGCGAAAGCCUGAUCCAGCCAUGCCGCGUGCGUGAAGAAGGUCUUCGGAUUGUAAAGCACUUUAAGUUGGGAGGAAGGGCAUUAACCUAAUACGUUAGUGUCUUGACGUUACCGACAGAAUAAGCACCGGCUAACUCUGUGCCAGCAGCCGCGGUAAUACAGAGGGUGCAAGCGUUAAUUGGAAUUACUGGGCGUAAAGCGCGCGUAGGUGGUUAGUUAAGUUGGAUGUGAAAUCCCCGGGCUCAACCUGGGAACUGCAUUCAAAACUGACUGACUAGAGUAUGGUAGAGGGUGGUGGAAUUUCCUGUGUAGCGGUGAAAUGCGUAGAUAUAGGAAGGAACACCAGUGGCGAAGGCAAUCCCCUGGACCUGUACUGACGCUCAUGCACGAAAGCGUGGGGAGCAAACA